UACGAAGGGUGCAAGCGUUAAUCGGAAUUACUGGGCGUAAAGGGUGCGUAGGCGGUUGUUUAAGUCUGUCGUGAAAUCCCCGGGCUCAACCUGGGAAUGGCGAUGGAUACUGGGCAGCUAGAGUGUGGCAGAGGAUGGUGGAAUUCCCGGUGUAGCGGUGGAAUGCGUAGAGAUCGGGAAGAACACCAGUGGCGAAGGCGGUCUGCUGGGCCGUUGCUGACGCUGAGGCGCGACAGCGUGGGGAGCAAACAGG
rnacentral:rRNA from 1 species